GGCGGGUAGACCCAAUCGGUAUUGGGGGUGGCCUUCAAAGCCAUUCGGACCUCUGAUGACAGGGGUUCAGCGCGUUCGACUCGCGUUACCCGCCGCCA
rnacentral:tRNA from 1 species